AACGAACGCUGGCGGCAGGCUUAACACAUGCAAGUCGAGCGGACCCUCCGGGGUUAGCGGCGGACGGGGGAGGAAGGAGGGGGAAUAUGCCCUUCCCUACGGAAUCGUCCUGGGAAAGUGGGGGUAAUACCGCAUACGCCAUUCGGGGGAAGGAUUUAUCGGGGAAGGAUUAGCCCGCGUUGGAUUAGGUGGUUGGUGGGGUACUGGCCUACCAUGCCGACGAUCCAUGGCUGGUGUGAGAGGAUGAUCAGCCACACUGGGACUGCGACACGGCCCAGACUCCUACGGAGGGCAGCGGUGGGGAAUCUUAGACGAUGGAGGCAACCGUGGUCUAGCCACGCCGCGUAAGUGGUGAAGGCCUUAGGGUUGUAAAGCUCUUUCAGCUGGGACGAUAGUGACGGUACCAGCAGAAGAAGCCCCGGCUAACUCCGUG
rnacentral:rRNA from 1 species